rnacentral:rRNA from 1 species
UACGUAGGGUGCGAGCGUUGUCCGGAAUUAUUGGGCGUAAAGAGCUCGCAGGCGGUGUGUCGCGUCGGCCGUGAAAACCUGGGGCUUAACUCUGGGCGUGCGGUCGAUACGGGCAUCACUGGAGUUCGGCAGGGGAGACUGGAAUUCCUGGUGUAGCGGUGAAAUGCGCAGAUAUCAGGAGGAACACCGGUGGCGAAGGCGGGUCUCUGGGCCGAUACUGACGCUGAGGAGCGAAAGCAUGGGUAGCGAACAGG